UAUUUUAAAAAAUUACCAUUUCGCGAGGAUAGCUGCUUCUACUACAUUGGAAAACCCGGCACAUGUUUAAUGUUUCUCAUGCCAUUUGGUCGCAGAAUAGAUGACAAAGGAUAGCCCAUUAGAUGGGAAUGAAAACUGUCGACUCUUACCACCAUUUGGGAGCACCCUUUGUGAUGUUUGCGAAAAAUCAGAACAAAAACUCCAGACUGGAUAAUAUUUUGCGCUUUUUGGUAUGACGAAUCCACAUGUCACACUGCUCUGCUCUGCUCUGCUCAGAUCAGGGCUCGCAUAUGAGUCGAAUUGCCCCCGAUUGCCAAUCCAUGCCCAUCCUCCGGCUUCGACUCUGGCUCUUACAUCCGUUUAGCGGGCAAUCAAGCGUGUAGUGCAAUUCAAUAAGCGGAUGGCGGUGACUUGGAGAACUUUAUCAACACCCAUGUCGGCAUUAGUUUUGUUUGCAAACUUUUCCCCGUUGCCUUUUUGACAGCCUCAGCAAAACUCAGCCCUGCCACGGGGGUGGUGGGUCGAGGGGUGCUGCAAACGCAGUCGGGGGUUGCUUGACUGGAUUUUUAUUUACGAGCACUUAAAUCGAAACGCAAACUAAAAUUGCACAAUGCACACAUCUACAUAAAUAUGCAAUUGCGGGCAUGUGAAAAUGUUUUUGGGCCCAAACUCCCGCUGAUAAAUGAUGAAAAAAUUAAGAAUAAAUACACGCGAUACACAGCAUCCGCAACUCGCAUCUCCACCCAACUCCA